rnacentral:tRNA from 1 species
GGGUCGUUAGCUCAGUCGGUAGAGCACUUGACUUUUAAUCAAUUGGUCGCAGGUUCGAAUCCUGCACGACCCACCA